UGGGGAAUAUUGCACAAUGGGGGAAACCCUGAUGCAGCGACGCCGCGUGAGCGAAGAAGGUUUUCGAAUCGUAAAGCUCUGUCCUAUGGGAAGAUAAUGACGGUACCAUAGGAGGAAGCCCCGGCUAACUACGUGCCAGCAGCCGCGGUAAUACGUAGGGGGCAAGCGUUGUCCGGAAUCACUGGGCGAAAAGGGUUCGCAGGCGGAAAUGCAAGUCAGUUGUGAAAGGCAGCGGCUCAACCUCUGUAAGCAAUUGAAACUGUCUUUCUUGAGAUGUGGAGAGGCAAGUGAAAUUCCUAGUGUAGCGGUGAAAUGCGUAGAUAUUAGGAAGAAUACCGGUUGCAAAGGCGACUUGCUGGACACAAACUGACGCAGAGGAACGAAAGCGUGGGUAGCAAACAGG
rnacentral:rRNA from 1 species